UAAUCUGACUAUUGGAGAUCUCACCAGUUUCUUUGUCAAUGAUGUGGGAGAUGUUUACUUCUAAUGAGACAAGGGACAACAGAGUGGAACAGAGUGUGAAACAAGGCUGCUGAUUCGUGUUUUGGUGCAGAACAUUCGAUGCGCAGGAAUUCUUAAUGAUGUUAAAUAGAAGUUACCUAUUCUUAAAAGGAACAGAAGAAAAGGCAGAGCAUCUGGACACAGAUGUAGGGGUAAUCAAGUUACUGAGAGGACUUUCUAGGAGGGUUGAAAUAUGUCCACAGAGUUUUGGCUUGGGAUUGAAGAGCAAAGAGGAGAAAGGCUGCACUGGGAGUCAUCACUCAGCCUUGGUGAAUUGUUUUGAUUAGAGAGAGAGAGGUCUUUGAGAUGGUUUGCAGUGAGAGCGUCAUGGUUUGUGCAGGCAGGCAGUAUUCUUUUUGUCUUUUUAUUGGGCCAAGGACAUCUAC
rnacentral:lncRNA from 10 species